GAUGAACGCUGGCGGCGUGCCUAACACAUGCAAGUCGAACGGGGUAUAUAAGCGGAAGUUUACGGAUGGAAGGUUAUAUACUUAGUGGCGGACGGGUGAGUAACGCGUGGGCAACCUGCCCCGUGCCGGGGGAUACCGCCUGGAAACAGGCGCUAAUACCGCAUAAGCGCAUACAGCCGCAUGGGUGUAUGCGGAAAGCUCCGGCGGCACGGGAUGGGCCCGCGCCCGAUUAGCCAGUUGGCGGGGUAACGGCCCACCAAAGCGACGAUCGGUAGCCGGCCUGAGAGGGCGGACGGCCACAUUGGGACUGAGACACGGCCCAAACUCCUACGGGAGGCAGCAGUGGGGAAUAUUGCACAAUGGGGGAAACCCUGAUGCAGCAACGCCGCGUGGGUGAAGGAGCGUUUCGGCGCGUAAAGCCCUGUCAGCGGGGAAGAAGAAAGACGGUACCCGACCAAGAAGCCCCGGCUAACUACGUGCCAGCAGCCGCGGUAAUACGUAGGGGGCGAGCGUUAUCCGGAAUUACUGGGUGUAAAGGGAGCGUAGACGGCGAGGUAAGCCUGAAGUGGAAGCCCGCGGCCCAACCGCGGAACUGCUUUGGGAACUGUUUUGCUGGAGUAUGGGAGGGGUAAGCGGAAUUCCUGGUGUAGCGGUGAAAUGCGUAGAUAUCAGGAGGAACACCGGUGGCGAAGGCGGCUUACUGGACCAUAACUGACGUUGAGGCUCGAAAGCGUGGGGAGCGAACAGGAUUAGAUACCCUGGUAGUCCACGCCGUAAACGAUGAUUACCAGGUGUCGGGUGUCGAAGGACGGCCGGUGCCGCAGCGAACGCAGUAAGUAAUCCACCUGGGGAGUACGUUCGCAAGAAUGAAACUCAAAGGAAUUGACGGGGACCCGCACAAGCGGUGGAGCAUGUGGUUUAAUUCGAAGCAACGCGAAGAACCUUACCCGGCCUUGACAUCCCCUGGACAGCAUAUGUAAUGUAUGUUUCCUUCGGGACCAGGGAGACAGGUGGUGCAUGGUUGUCGUCAGCUCGUGUCGUGAGAUGUUGGGUCAAGUCCCGCAACGAGCGCAACCCCUGCCCCCAGUAGCCAGCAUUUAAGAUGGGCACUCUGGGGGACUGCCGGGGAUAACCCGGAGGAAGGCGGGGAUGACGUCAAAUCAUCAUGCCCCUUAUGGCCGGGGCUACACACGUGCUACAAUGGCGUAAACAGAGGGAGGCGAGACAGCGAUGUUAAGCGAACCCCAAAAAUAACGUCCCAGUUCGGAUUGCAGCCUGCAACUCGGCUGCAUGAAGCUGGAAUCGCUAGUAAUCGCGGAUCAGAAUGCCGCGGUGAAUACGUUCCCGGGUCU
rnacentral:rRNA from 1 species